rnacentral:rRNA from 1 species
UACGUAGGUGGCAAGCGUUGUCCGGAAUUAUUGGGCGUAAAGGGCGCGCAGGCGGUUUCAUAAGUCUGUCUUAAAAGUGCGGGGCUUAACCCCGUGAGGGGACGGAAACUGUGAGACUGGAGUGUCGGAGAGGAAAGCGGAAUUCCUAGUGUAGCGGUGAAAUGCGUAGAUAUUAGGAGGAACACCAGUGGCGAAAGCGGCUUUCUGGACGACAACUGACGCUGAGGCGCGAAAGCCAGGGGAGCGAACGGG